CAACCCUCAAGCUCUGCUUGGUGUUGGGCCCAGCCCGUCGCGGCCGGCCCCAAAGACAGUGGCGGCGCCGUCGGGCCCUAAGCGUAGUACAUCUCUCGCUCUAGGGCCCCGCGGUGGCUUGCCAGCAACCCCAACUCCUAU
rnacentral:misc_RNA from 2 species